rnacentral:lncRNA from 1 species
CCCGCAAACCUGGAACUUUCGGAUUGCUUCCGAGCUUGAAGAGUGCUCGGAGCUUCACCAGGUGCUGCUUCCUGAUUUCAGCUGACCAGCUGAAGCACCAGUUUGCCCUUAAACUACCCACGUGGUGGGGGAGGGGAGAAGUGGCCCAAACAAUGUAUGCACACGUGAAUAAAUGAAUAAAAAUAAAUAAAUAAAUAAACUACUCA